UGGGGAAUUUUGCACAAUGGGCGCAAGCCUGAUGCAGCGACGCCGCGUGAGGGAUGAAGGCCUUCGGGUUGUAAACCUUUUUCGCUCAUGGUCAAGCCGCAGCUUUGGGUUGUGGUGUGGGUAGUGGGUAAAGAAGCGCCGGCUAACUACGUGCCAGCAGCCGCGGUAAUACGUAGGGCGCGAGCGUUGUCCGGAAUUAUUGGGCGUAAAGGGCUUGUAGGCGGUUGGCCGCGUCUGCCGUGAAAUCCUCUGGCUUAACUGGGGGCGUGCGGUGGGUACGGGUUGACUGGAGUGCGGUAGGGGAGACUGGAAUUCCUGGUGUAGCGGUGGAAUGCGCAGAUAUCAGGAGGAACACCGGUGGCGAAGGCGGGUCUCUGGGCCGUUACUGACGCUGAGGAGCGAAAGCGUGGGGAGCGAACAGG
rnacentral:rRNA from 1 species